rnacentral:rRNA from 1 species
UACGGAGGGAGCAAGCGUUGUUCGGAAUUACUGGGCGUAAAGGGCACGUAGGCGGCUUUUUAAGUCAGAGGUGAAAUCCUGGCGCUCAACCUCGGAACUGCCCUUGAUACUGAGAAGCUUGAAACUUGGAGAGGUGAGUGGAAUUCCGAAUGUAGAGGUGAAAUUCAUAGAUAUGCGGUAGAACACCGGUGGCGAAGGCGGCACGCUAGACAGUUAUUGACGCUGAGGGGCGAAAGCGUGGGGAGCGAACAGG